rnacentral:rRNA from 1 species
CCGGAUACGUUCUUUUCUCGCAUGAGAGAAGAUGGAAAGACGGUUUACGCUGUCACUUAUAGAUGGGCCCGCGGCGCAUUAGCUAGUUGGUGAGGUAAUGGCUCACCAAGGCGACGAUGCGUAGCCGACCUGAGAGGGUGAUCGGCCACACUGGGACUGAGACACGGCCCAGACUCCUACGGGAGGCAGCAGUAGGGAAUCUUCCGCAAUGGACGAAAGUCUGACGGAGCAACGCCGCGUGAACGAAGAAGGCCUUCGGGUCGUAAAGUUCUGUUGUUAGGGAAGAACAAGUACCAGAGUAACUGCUGGUACCUUGACGGUACCUAACCAGAAAGCCACGGCUAACUACGUGCCAGCAGCCGCGGUAAUACGUAGGUGGCAAGCGUUGUCCGGAAUUAUUGGGCGUAAAGCGCGCGCAGGUGGUUCCUUAAGUCUGAUGUGAAAGCCCACGGCUCAACCGUGGAGGGUCAUUGGAAACUGGGGAACUUGAGUGCAGAAGAGGAAAGUGGAAUUCCAAGUGU